GGAGCUCACUGGCUGACAGCAGAGGCAGAACUGAAAAUGACUGAACGCAGAGAGCUGUGGUGGGGCUAGAGGCCAAGGCAAGCAGAGGUCUGAGGGGCUGUCUCAUACAACACUACAAGGAAGAGGCUUUUGAAGGGGCCUUUGAAUUAGGUAUUGAGAAAUGAUCACAUCUGUGGAUGGGGCUGGGACAGGGAUGGGAAUGAACAUUUCAGCACGGUCAGGAGCUUGUACACACAGACAGUGUGAUGAGAAGCCAGGCAUUUUGGAGAGUGAUGACAGCCGCCUCCCUCAACACUUGCAAGGCGGGAAGCAAGUGUACAGAUGGAGGCGUAUAUAUAAUGUGUCUAAAUAUUUAAAAGUUAUCAACCAGGCUAGCAAGUUCUUAAUUAAAUAUAUUCGACUCUCCUCCCUUGACAAAUAUACCUCCGCAGCAACCUGGAAGACCACGUUGGAAUGUAGAAGUCUCUGGCAUUUCCUGCUGGAAUGAGACAGCAGGGGAAGAGGUGGGUCAGAUCUUCUCCCACCCCCUCCUCUCCUCACCCUGCUCCCUCCCAGGCUGCGAGGGGCCUCAGGCACACAUGUGGAAGCAAAACUCCAUCACAAACUCUGUCCACAACCCCUGCAAACAGCUGCCUUUUAGCUGUCCCAGGGGUGUGGCACUGGCAAGGAAGUGGCCAGAGCAGGCCUUGAAAGUCUGCAGGGAAUUCUCAGGUUCUGGGUACCUAAGUGUGGUCUCUGGGGAUGGCAUGGACUCUGGGUGGGCACAUCGUUGUGGGCCCUGCAGACUCCUUGCCCCGUGUGGCAGGGUACCUCUGGAGGAAGGCCAGCACGGGGCCCUCUUGCCUUGGUCUGAGAAUGAUACUGAGUCCUGAGCAGUUCCCAGUGGCUGGAAUGUCAUUGUGCUCAGCAGGAGCAGCAGCAGAGGAGGCUGAUUCCCAUCGUGAUGAAAGAUGAUGAAAAUGGUGGCCCUGAAUUCUACCUCUGGUCUUUAGGAAGAGUAAUGUCAAAAAUGAUGAAGUCUGAUUUGGAAAGACCUGGGAGGCAGCCUGAUGCUCUUCCACUCACCACACUCACGCAGAUGUCAAGUGCGUCCAAAUCAAUACAUGGAACCUGCCUUUCUGGCCACGAAGUUCUGAGAAGCUAGACGUGAACAGGGCCUAAGCUACCCACUGUCUCAGGUUGCUAGAAUUCCAGAGAGAAACCAACCACACCAGAGAGUGAAUAUUCUAAACUGCACACCACGCCAACUUGCUUGCUCACUGACCAUCUUGCUUAAAGAACUGAGUUACGAGGUACAAACUAGGGAGGGAGCAAAGGAGGCUUCUCUCUCCAGAAGAGAAAUCAAUAGCUGGUCAAGAUUUGGGGAGGGUGACGGUGAUGAGUUCUCAGAUACGGAGGAAACUGAAGUGGAAGAGCUGUUGCUUCUAUAAAAAGAAACUGAUAGACACAGAUGGGAGUGGAACCAUAUCAAUCGGUGGGCGAUGAGGAAAGAUGAAGAGCAGUAAGAAUGAAAAUACCCGAAUGGAAAAAAAAGUACUAACAUUUUUGUUUUACGCUUUUUCUCAAUUGUUACAAAUUCUUUCUAUAUUAAAUCUGUUGUUCUAGAUAAUGGAAUUAGUUUUAGCAGAUAACAGUUAUCAAAUUUUUGGUGAAUCUGGUUUGAAUUGCCCUUCCAAUACAAAAUUGAUGCUAUUGGCCAGCCACUGGUAGGCCUGGCAGUAAUCUUCUGUGUCGGUGAUGGACUAUGCUGCCUGAGCCACUGACAGCCCCUUUUACAUUGCCCACUGGGACAAACUGCAGGCAUUUGCAAGAUGGUUAGCUAAGUUUAGGCGUAGAGUCUGUGACGACGGAAUAGAUUUUUUUAAAUGUGAAAAUUGCUAGCUUAUAAUACCAUUACAGUUUUACUCCAUAUCCUUAAAAGCUGCCAUCCUAAAGCUGCAUUACUUUAUCAUGGCUCCUCUUUCUUCAUACUCUGUUCAGUUUCUAUUAAUCAUCUUUCUCCACAGUGUUGAGAAGGAACAGAAACACGGGCUUUGGAGUCAGGCACACCUGGGUUUGAAUCCUGGCUCUGGCUGGUUGUGAGACCUUCUCAAAGUCACUAUAAAAUGAGGAUAAUGAGGUCGAAUUCUGUUGUGUGUUAAUGAAAUACCUAUGUAAAGACGUUGCCCAGUGCCUGGUACUCAAAGUCAUUUGUUUCCUGUGAAUGAGUGGAGUAGAAUGCUUCUGGGAGAGCAUUUCAUUCUCUGAUUUAUCACGAUAAGAUCAGCCCUAUCCAAAACACUCAAUCAUCCGAAGACUUCAAUCUCUUUUAUUCUUUUUUUCCUAAUGUCAUAAUCCACUGGACUCCUAAGCAUGUAAGUAGGUACCACAGAAUGUAAACAAGGAAACAAAUAUGCUGAAUAUGUGGAAACAAAGCUGUGACACACAGAUGAAAUAGCUGCACAAAAGAAAACAUUAAAACAUUUAAAAAGAGACUUAAUGUAGGAAUAAGCUAUUUUAAUCAAGCAAAAACAAAUUUAUAUCCAUUAUUUCUAAAAAUAAAAUUAGACUUUUCCAAUCCUUAACAUCUGCAUUUAAUAAUAUCUUCUAACCAAAAUACAGAUGCUAAAACAGCAAGUUACAUUAUAUCUUGUACAGCAUACAGUAUGUUCACUGUUUACACUUACUUUAAUUCUAGUUGGUCAUGUACUCAAUGCAUAAACAUCACUCAAUAAAAUUUUCACAAUUAACAAAAAAAUGUGACAAGGCUGUCUUAAAAUGGCUCUGCUAUAAAUUGUAUAGAAUAUACAGAAUUACAAAGUCAAGUAUUUUUUUAUCAAAAUAUACACCCCUCCCUGAAACUAACACAAGCUAUCAACAUUUUAAAUGAAUACAAUUAUAGAAAAUAUUUGCAAAAUUAUUUUUUCAUGUAUAAAUAUUCUGCCAUAUUUACUUUGGUCUAGAAUUAUCAGCAUACAAGUCCACUUAAAAAAUAUCCACAUGUAAGGACCAGGAGACAUCACUACAGGUAAUUUUAUAUUUGGGGUUAACUCAAAUCAGCAUGACUAGAUUACACAGUAAUUCUCUUUCAUUCUUAUUACUGAAAAAAAUUAGUGGAUCACAGGAUUUCUUAUUCAAUAUUCUAAUUAUCAAUUCGAAAAUGAUUUUCAUAAGCCCUUUGUGACUAUCUCUUUAACAAAACCCAAAUGAAUAGUGUAGGGUAUACAUAUAUACAAUGUAUAAAAUAAAGUUGAAUUUGCUUGCAUUUUCCCAUUUUUCUCUACUUAUAUAAUACUGUAUGUAAGUGAAAGUAGAUGAACAAAAGAUAAAUGCAGAUACAAUAGUGGGGUUACUUAACAGCAAGGUACUACAGUAUUAAAAGGUCAACUUUAAUCAUGUCCUUUCCUGGAUGUUUAAAUGCUUUCUUACCCACCCAAAUCCACACUAAGUCUUCUUCAUGGAGACAUCACACUUGUAGAGAGAAAAUGGAGUCCUUUGAACUACUUCUUCACAAUGAUAACCUUCCAACCUUCGAUAACCUUGGGUUUCCAUCUGUCAAAUCCAAUGAACAUGAAUGACUGCAGGUCAUGCUGAAACUGCAAUCCGGAUUCUGCUCACACCAGUGAUCAAAGGGUAGAAGUGUUUUCUCUCUCCCUCCUAUUCUGGCAGUUUAAAGUAGUAAGAAUCAUGAGUUCCAUCUUUCCAGGAACCUAGUCCACAUGACAGAAUAUGCUGUAGGGCAACUAGAUUUGAGGGUAAUGUUGAUGGUGUGGGUCAGUGUAAAAGAACAUUAAAAAAAACUUCAGUGGGUUUUUAGCAAGGGGUCUAGAUGUCUGCAAAUAUGAAGACAGAGCAACUGGCUUUGUGGAUAUAUUUGAGUCACAUAAUUAAGGAACAGAACCAUGUCACUCCACAUCCUACCUCCCCAUCCCCUAAAAACACAGCUACUGUUUUAGGUAAUGAAGGUCAUCCCUUCUUCCUGCCCACUCAAGUCAUUAAUGAGGGGGGUGGAGGAUGGGGUUCUGUUGUCCUUUUGCUUUACACUAGUCGGUACUUGUGGGCUGCAUAAUCUCCAAGAAGGCUAGUAAUUGUAGGGAUUAGGCAGUCACUUUCAAGUGCCCGGGAAUUCACUACUGCAGUGUACUUUACACUAAAUCUCUUAGUCCUUCAGUGGAAUGGGAGAUGGCAGGUUCCACGUGAACCCCUAAGUCUGUCUGGAAUAGACCCCCACCAUCCAUGGCCUUGUGGUUGGAAGACUGCAGAGAGUUUUGGAAGAAUUUGACCCUCUUUCAUUCUCUGAGGUGAGGCCAUUGCAAAGUAACAUGCAGCACAGGUAAUCACAGGUAAAUUCUGGGAGGGCUUUCCCCCAUAGAUAAGGCAUGACCUAUGUUUUCUGUGAAUUAAGUAGACCAGUUCUAAGAACAGCUCAGCCAUAACUUCAAGGGAACAGCAUUCCAUCUAAAAGCAUACACAUGCUCUUAAAUCAUAUUCAAAAUGCUUUCUACUGAUUUUUACAUCAGUCCUCAUUAUUUGCAGAUCUAUUGCUCAUCAUAAUUCUCUACAGGGGAUAUGGACAGUUAAAAGUCAUAGUGAUUUAUAUAUGUAUUUUACAAGGUUUGUGUUGCAGAAAAGUAGUUCUACAUAAUGUAUGAAUGUCCUACUUUAGGUUACUCAUUAUGCACAUAAUUUCAGUUAUAUUGUUAAGUAUUUCAUAUGUAUCCAUUAAUUUAAACAAAUUUUAAUAGUGCAGAAGCCAGAUGGGAAUAAAGACCGUCACACAGCUCAUUACCACGUAACAUGUUUACGAAGGUGCCAUCUUCAGGAUAGCUGACCUUUAUUUUCUCCAGUGACUAAAGACAGUUCAGCAGCCAGUUCCGAUUAGCAAUUAUUAGAAAGUUUUAAAUUAGGCUAAAAUUAAAUUCCUCUUUUCACUGGUA